rnacentral:lncRNA from 1 species
CUUAAAGCACAACCCAUUAGGCUUCUUCGUCUUUUGCUUAUUCCUUUCUUGUUCUCUCAGUUCUCGCGAACCCAUUAGGCCAUUAGCCAUGGGCUCCUACCAUGCAGGCUCAUGCACUGCCACAAAAAUUAAAAUCUCAUUUUCAUUAUUCUUGCUUCUUGUUGGAGUAGCUUCAGCUCAAUUGUCCCCUACUUUCUAUUCAACAUCUUGCCCCAACGCCCUGUCCACCAUAAAAUCAGCUGUGGCCUCAGCUGUGUCCAGCGAGGCUCGCAUGGGAGCUUCCUUGCUCCGUCUUCAUUUCCAUGAUUGCUUUGUUAAUGCAAGUCUUUAAUUUCUCCUUUUCCAAUUAUUUCCCCAAUGGGUUCCAAUAAUAUUAUUUCCGGUCCUGUGUUUGUUCUAGUUCAUACAUUUUCUUAUUCCAUACAUUUCUAGAUUCGCAUUUCAUGGAAUUGGUUUUUUUAAGAUCUUGAUAUUUUCGUUUGCUAUUGUUGUUAUCUAGAAUUCUAAAAUGAAAGAUAAUCUUAGAUUAAUUUAAAUUCUAAGUCUUACGCAAUUUGUCUUGUCGACAUGCAAAACAGUUUGAACCCUCAAACAGCCAAAAUAUUUGACUUGCUAAUCGUGUUCACAAAAGUAUUUUUUUAUUCUCUAUAUGUUUUUUUUGUUUCUUUUUCAAGUAAUUCAUAUUUCACCAUACGACAAUCUGCUUUGACCCUUUGUUUCAGUCUUGUCGGUGCACGCGUUGCGAACUACCUAGUGUUGCCCAAGGCUAUGCAAACAACUACACGAUAAAAUAAAAUAAAAUACUGCUAAAGCUAUUGCUAGCUGGAAUGAGCACCAUGAUUGAAAACCCCUUUAUUUGUUAUAUUCGUAAAGCAUGUUGGAUCCUUCACCGACCAAAAAGAAAAAUAUUUUGGGUUACUUUUGGGCUCAAUUACGUGCCUUGUUAGCUUUUGCUUUUUGUGCAAAAUCUAUUUGGUGACAAGCUAUGAAUCAUUCGUGCAAAUGUUUCUUUGUUUUUGUUUUUUUGUUACCAGUUCGAAUAAUUAAGAGAUGUGAAUUUUACGUGAAACAGGGAUGUGAUGCUUCGGUUCUGUUGGACGACACAGCCAGUUUGACAGGAGAGAAAACGGCAGGUCCCAAUGCUAAUUCUUUGAGGGGUUUUGAUGUCAUCGACACCAUUAAAACCCAAUUGGAGAGCCUUUGCCCCAAGGUGGUCUCUUGUGCUGACAUCUUGACCGUUGCCGCCAGAGACUCUAUUGUUGCAGUAAGUCAAAAUGCUCCAACAUAAUUUAUGUGAUAAUCUGUUCUUUAUUUUUAUUUUUAUGGACUAACUAAUUAAAUUGUUUAAUCAGUUGGGUGGACCGACCUACACAGUGCCAUUAGGCAGAAGAGAUGCAACCACCGCAAGCUUAAGUGCUGCCAAUUCCAACAUACCUGGUCCCCAAUUGAACCUGGCUGCCCUUAUUUCUGCUUUCUCAAACAAAGGCUUCACCGCCAGGGAAAUGGUGGCUCUCUCAGGUUUACAAAUCAAUUACCAAACAUUAUAAAUUAAGUUCAGUUUUUAUUAUUUGUUUAAUAUCUAAUUACUCUGUUCUUUUUUUCUUGUUUGAUUAGGAUCUCACACCAUUGGCCAAGCUAGGUGCACAACAUUUCGGAAUAGACUUUAUAACGAAGCCAACAUAAACGCGUCAUUUGCGACAUCCGUGAAAUCACAGUGUCCAAGCAGUGGAGGCGACAACACACUUUCCCCACUUGAUGUCACAAGCCCAACCUCUUUCGACAACGCUUACUAUAGGAAUCUGGUGAGCCAGAAGGGUUUGUUGCACUCAGACCAGCAGCUCUAUAGUGGUGGGUCCACCAACACCAUUGUCGAUGCUUACAUCAGCAAUACUGGGACUUUCAGGGCAGAUUUUGCCAAUGCUAUGAAGAAGAUGGGAAACCUUAGCCCUCUCACGGGCACCAAUGGUCAGAUUAGGACCAAUUGUAGAAAGGUCAACUAGGGCUUUUAAGAACUAUACCUUGUUUGUUAUUUCUCAAGUGCCCAUUUUGAUCUUAUUGGUUAUUGGUUGCUUUUUCCGAGGGAUAUUAUGUAAGAAGAUGAACUCCAUUAAUAAAAGUUU